AACCUUUACAAUGCACGAAAGUGUGAUAAGGGAAUCCUGAGUGCUUUGCUUUUAGUAAGGCUUUUGUUAACUGUAAAAAGGUUAGCGAAUAAGUGGUGGGUAAGACUUGUGCCAGCCGCCGCGGUAACACCAGCGCCACGAGUGGCAACCAGUUUUAUUGGGCCUAAAGCGUCCGUAGCCGGUUCAGCAAAUUUCCUGUGAAAUCGUUAGGCUUAACUUAACGGCAUGCAAGAAAAACUACUGAACUUGGGACCGGGAGGCGUCAGAGGUAUUCCUGAGGGAGCGGUAAAAUGCUAUAAUCUCGGGAGGACCACCUGUGGCGAAGGCGUCUGACGAGAACGGAUCCGACGGUGAGGGACGAAAGCCAGGGGAGCGAACCGG
rnacentral:rRNA from 1 species